GAUGAACGCUGGCGGCGUGCCUAAUACAUGCAAGUCGAGCGAACGGACGAGAAGCUUGCUUCUCUGAUGUUAGCGGCGGACGGGUGAGUAACACGUGGAUAACCUCCCUAUCAGACUGGGAUAACUUCGGGAAACCGGCGCUAAUACCGGAUAAUAUUUUGAACCGCAUGGUUCAAAAGUGAAAGACGGUCUUGCUGUCACUUAUAGAUGGAUCCGCGCUGCAUUAGCUAGUUGUUAAGGUAACGGCUUACCAAGGCAACGAUGCGUAGCCGACCUGAGAGGGUGAUCGGCCACACGGGAACUGAGACACGGUCCAGACUCCUACGGGAGGCAGCAGUAGGGAAUCUUACGCAAUGGGCGAAAGCCUGACGGAGCAACGGCGCGUGAGUGAUGAAGGUCUUCGGAGCGUAAAACUCGGUUAUGAGGGAAGAACAGAUGUGGAAGGAAAUGUGCAGAGAGUGACGGUAACGAAUCAGAAAGCCACGGCUAACUACGUG
rnacentral:rRNA from 1 species